rnacentral:sRNA from 1 species
UGAUUUUCACCAUCUAAUAAUUGAAAGUAAAGAUGCUCAGAAGCUACAUAUGAAAAAGAUAAGUUUUAUUUCUUUUAUUUGUUCUCUUUAAGGUUUAAGGUUACAUCAUGUUUUCCUUUUAUAGGAGUUACAAUGUCAGUGACUUUAGGGUUUGUUCUGACACAUGUCAGGUUUCUAUUGAUCUUACACACUCAAAACGGUUUUUUAAAACUACUCCAUCUUUGCCCGCACAGCUCCUGGUUUUAGUCACUUGAUCCAAUCCUGUUUUACUUUUGGCUUUGUCUUCUUUUGCACGUGGAGAUAACCGUUGGAGCUGUGAGUUGUUUUGGGUCUGCGCUUGGGCCUUCUGCUUGUUGGGCUUGAUCUUUGUUAGAUUCUCAAUUUGGCCCAAUCGCUGAACCUUCUUGAGGAUGUCGUUUGGUAAUCUUGUCUUUGCAGCUUCCUCUUCUUCAUGUCCGAUCACAACUCUGAUUUGAUUCUUCUCUUCUCCAAUCCGAGUUGUAAUCUCAAUGAAAGAUGCCUUCUCACUAAUAAU